GCGAAUCCUCUUUGGUUCAAUUGCAGAAGCAACACACUGUUUACUUGAUUAGCAUCUCUCUCAACCUUCACUUAUGGUGGGUCCCCUGGAAUCCAGUGUACAUGGACACACAAACACUAUGUGUGAAUUGGGAGGUAAGGAGGCUCUGACCCAGGAAGAAGGAAUGGUUUGCCCAUGAUUGCCCAACUAGUUGGAAUCAGAAACCAGCUUUUGAUCCAGGUCUGAAAUAUUAAUCAUGACUCUCUGAAUGGUAAAGAAACAAUAGAAUUGUCAUAAAAGUGAAGAAGAUGAGAAUGAGAAUUUGAGAAUGUGGAGCUUAUUUUUUUAAAUAAAUUAACAAUGGACUAAAAGUAAUCAAUUUCUCAGAGAAUUUGAGAAUGGAGGAAUCAGAUGGAACUUCUAUUGGAAGAAUUCUUUUCCAACUCUCAUUCCUGAAAGAUUACAAAACAAUGAGAGAAAUGAUACACAGAUUUUAAAAAGACAAGAGAACUUUUGUCUUCAAUGUCACUAGAGACAGCAUCACAUGAUUCUGUUCAAAACUCUUCUUCAAGAUGACAUGUUAACCUUCUCUCCAGGUUUUACUCAUUCCCACUUUUCCACCCAGUUCCCUUAUUUUGGUAAGAAAUACUUGCCAGAGUACCUUCCAUCCCACCGGUCUUAUGUUUAUCUUUGGGUAAAUGAAAUGUUAUCAAGGCAAGUAAAGUUUUAAAUUGCUACACUGACAACCGGUAGAAAUUCCAGUUGAUGACUAAGAAGUUGAAAUCUUUCAUAUCCUCAUAUUUUGACUGUACUUUGCCAUCUUGCCUCUGUAAGCUUUGUAAAGUCAUCAGAGAUGUACCAUUUCAUUGCAUCUCUUUGGCUACAAAAAGUGAUGCCACACUCUCACACUCAUAUCUUUCUUUUUAUUCUCUCUUCUUAAUAGUCUCUCCAAUUCUACUACCAAGAUUGUUAAUAGAAACUCAAAUUACUAUCCUCAAUUGAAACUCCAACACUUUGGCCACCUAAUGCAAAGAGCUGACUCAUUUGAAAAGACCCUGAUGCUGGGAAAGAUUGA